GAGAAUAAACCCCAAAUGUGGGGCUUGAAUGUUCCGAAUGACUUCAGUUUGGAGGAAAACAGGAAAAGGGAGGGGAAAAGGGGACAUAAAUGAAGGUUUUCCUGGGGGAUCCCAAUCUGGCCAGUGUCAAAUUGCCCCAGUGUGCCUGGGAUUGGAUUUAUGUGGAUAAUGUAUAGAUAUUCCCCAUAUUCCAUGUCUACCUUGUGAUUUAUGUCCUAAAUCGGUAUUUUAUGUGCCCUAAAUGGAUUUUUACGUGGAUAAUAAUCAUAUCCCAUUAUAAAUAUAUCGCUAUAAAGUGUCUAAUCCAUAAUGUUGGCAUCAGAAAGUCCAUGUUUGACCUAGUCCAUGUCUCUCUGCUCCCAGGGCGCCUCACAGAGCUGCUGGGUAUGUGUGUUCUCCUGGCCAUAAAUCCCAUGGGAAAAGGGCUGAUAAUGGCAUUAACUGGGAUCUCUUCCCUCUUGCAGAGAGCCAGGAUUCAGGAAUACGGGAUCUGGAGCAGAGCUGGAUGAGCUGGUUCCAAACGGCCCCACAUCCAUCCAUGGGGAUUUGGUGGCUCCGUUUGGCUCUUCCCAUCCUUUGGCAUCUACUUUUGGGGAUAAAGGCAGAGGGCCAAAGGGGCCUAAAAUAACACCAAGGAAAAGUAGCCAAGGGAUAGACCCUGGGAUGGGGAUGGGAAAUGGGGCUGGAAAAGGGCAAAUCCAGGUCUCACCUUUUCCUUUCCCUCUUUUCCCUCUGGCAGAGGAGCUGAGGGAGCAGGAAGCUGAUGGAUCUUCUGAGGAGCUGGGUAAAGCUCCAGCUUCCUUCCAACUGGAAAACUGGGAUGGGCCGAGGGCUG